CUAAUAUAUCAUGACUACUUGUAAUCCUUGUCUCAUGCGAUGCAAGUACAAAACAACAUAUAUAAGUACAUGUGAAUAACUCAAAGAAAUCACUAUUUCAUUACCGGAAUCGAGUAUCAUAAAAUAAAAAUCAAGUGCUCUAGAGUAAAAAGUCAAGAAUGAUAAGUAAUGGCUCGCCGUGGUUGGAGCCGGGAUGUUUCACUCUAUUUCUCGUCCAACUACUCCAGCAAGGUAUAGAUUUUGUUUUUUGUUUUCCUAUUUCUUCGUACUUUUCAAUUGAGAUUUUGGGUUGUAUUUGAUUUUUUUUGGGUUGUAUACUCGUUUCUCUUGUACUUG
rnacentral:lncRNA from 1 species